UGUUACAGCACAGACUGGAAGACUGGUGGCAGAACUUGUCCUUCCUAAGUAUGAGUUACCAUGAAUAGGGUAAAUAUGACUGAGGGUAAUGGCCAAAAUGCUUGACAGUCUCAGGUGUGGCAGCGGUGAAUUUCCACGUGCCUCCAGCCGGGGAUUGGGAGCCUUGGCUGAGCACAGAGCGCUGAACAUGCUGCAGACGGUGCCUCAAGACCUCUGGUGUCAGGCACUCUCCAGCGGUCCCAUAGAGGCACCUCAUCAGCUCUGCCCUGACACUUCACAGCCCCUUGUUAACCCUUCUCUUUUUAUGGCCCUGUAGGUAAAGGAGUUGAUCCUACUGAAAUAUGCCUGAGGCUGCCAGCAAGGAGCUGUAGAGCUGCCUGAACCCAAGUCCAGAUGCACAUGUUCUCCGUGACGAUAAGUGUGCUCUGACAGGGCUGAAGCUGCUCCAACUCCACGGGACAGCAACACAGAGCAGCCCCAGCACAGCCAGAAGGCUCUGAGCUGAUGCCAGGCUGAUGGGGAACAGCGUUUGUGCCAGGAUUAGCACCGGGCCCCUCACAAUCACAUUUAUACUCAUUCUACAUGGAUGAGGACUGGCUGACAAUUCCCGGCAUUCCAGUUUGGAAGAAAGUUUUGUCUAUUUUCAAUGCUGUGGGUCUGCCUGCCCUGCUGACAUGCCUUCGAUCCAUCCCAUUCCCUUCCAUUUCAGUUACAGAUGAGGAAAGCUAAAGUAGCAACACUGCUCUUUUUUCUGUUAUGCUUUUGGCUUAGUCUUAUCAAGCUGGGUUUCGUUUCUGCAUUCAUUUCACUGCUUUCAUAAAACUGACUUGGCAAGUUUGGAUGACUGAUAAGGAAUGAACGUUUCUCACCCACAGCUGCUCUGAUAUGAUUUUUUGAAGUCCCUUUGGACUGAACAAAUGCAGAAGAUAUUACUGACAAUUUUAAAAUGAGAUAAUAAAUCUCAAUAAGGUUUUGCAUACAUAUGUACUCACGAAGUCAGAGUUUUAUCAGAACAUAAUCUGAAUGCUCUGAAAAUUUCUAGAGGCCUCACAAGUAUGAAAAUACUUUUCUCAAAGUCACAGGAGGAUUAAAAGUGAGAGACAGACAUUACCAAGAAAAAAAAAAAAAGAACCAAAAGGAAGAGCAUCAAGUUAUUUCAGCGUAAGCACCUUAAAUAACUGGCAUCUGUUCUCAAGUCUUGUGUAACAAAUUGUAGCUCUCUGCAAUAAGUCCAAUGGGUUACAGUAUCCUGCGAGAUUAGACAUCUGUAAGGAACGUUGACAAGACCUUUGGUGUAGCAAUGCAGUACUGCCCCCUCAAAAAAAACAAAGGUACCCAAGUCCCUCAUUACUGCUGAAGCCAUUUGAAGGGAUUAUUCCAUUUUUACAUCAUUUCUGCAGCACACUGAGAAAAUCCUGUGGAUAUUCUCAGCUCAGUCAGAGAGAAGGAGAAAGGUUUUCUAACCAGCAGUUGGGAAAGAAUGUAAAUAAUUCUCUAAUCUGUUAUUCACAUUGUUUAUAGAUAUGUUCUGCCAGUGUCUGUCAUUCACUGCAGACCAAUGCCGUGAGAUGUUUUUACUCUAAGACCAAUGAAAUUAAUCCACACAAUGUUCUCUAUAUAUAGAGGAGUACAUUUGAAAUAAAGGAGAGUUCAUUCUCUUUGCCUUCUAA